AACACCACUAAGGUAAUGUAAUUAGUUUAGAUAGAAUGUAGACAUGAAACAAGGCUAAGGUUACCAAGUAAGAUAAGGAAUGGCCAUUCUAUGUGGCGGAGCCACAGGACCCAUUUUUAAAAGGAAAAAAAUCAUUCAAACUAAAUCCCUGUUAGUGUCUAGAAGGAAUUUUUAUGGGAAACUAGAAAUUCAUUCAAGAUAAACUAAUUCUGAAUCCAGAGUAAACUAUAGUAUCAGGUCAUGCUCUUAAGGUGCCAGG
rnacentral:lncRNA from 1 species